GUAGGGAAUAUUGCGCAAUGGGGGAAACCCUGACGCAGCGACGCCGCGUGAGUGAUGAAGGCCUUCGGGUCGUAAAGCUCUGUUGCAGGGGAAUAAAAAAAUGAAGGUACCCUGUGAGGAAGGAUCGGCUAACUUCGUGCCAGCAGCCGCGGUAAGACGAGGGAUCCUAGCGUUGCUCGGAAUCAUUGGGCGUAAAGAGGGCGUAGGUGGCUUGGUAAGUCAGGUGUGAAAGCCCAGGGCUCAACCCUGGAAGUGCAUUUGAUAGUGCUGAGCUUGAGUGUCGGAGAGGUUACCGGAAUACCUGGUGUAGUGGUGAAAUACGUAGAUAUCAGGUGGAACACCGGAGGCGAAGGCGGGUAACUGGACGAACACUGACACUGAGGCCCGAAAGCGUGGGGAUCAAACAGGAUUAGAUACCCCUGUAGUCC
rnacentral:rRNA from 1 species